rnacentral:tRNA from 1 species
GGCCCGUUGGUCAAGUGGUUAAGACACCGCCCUUUCACGGCGGUAACCACGGGUUCGAAUCCCGUACGGGUCACCA